GGAGGGCCUGGUUAUUGACACUGUGUGCUAGGUCGGGGAGAGGAAAGGUCAGGUGGGAAGUUAUUGCGAGAGUGAGACAGUCCGUUGAAAAGGACUGGACUGACCGAGGCGCACGUAAAGCACGCUACAGGAAGCUAUGCAGGGGUGACACGGACACCUGAGACAGCGUGCAGCUGAGGGGACAGGCCCUCUCCAACCCCGCCCCUCCUCUGUGGAUCACUUGCUCCAGUGGCUCGGAGGACUCAGGAAACACUGUUAGCAGUUUUCCCUAAAGGGUAUUGCGAAGAACACAGAUGACAAAUGCAUAGGACAGUUGAUUUCAACUUUCCUCCUCUGCAAACAACUACUUUUAUUUCAUCAUGCAAGUAGACGGAUCCUUUUGAAAGCUGAUGAAUCAGCAGAGCCAGAAAAUGACGCAUGUCUGCUGUGUGUUUACUGAUGACGUGCAAUCUGAUUGCUGAGGAAAGGUAACAGAAGAUACUGCUGGCAUGCCUGCCCUGCUGGGUGUUAUACCCUGACCCGUUUCCUCCCUCCGCACCGUGGACUGGGCCCUGUUAUUGCCGUUUAUCCUGGAGAAAUGGAGGCUAAGGGACGGUGUGCCGGUACCCAAGGAAAGUGGCCGUGAGACUGAAACUCUGGGCUUUUUGCCCUGAACACUGCAUUACCCCCAAAUCAGCCAGGCCUACUGGCUUCUUUUGCUGAAGAAGGCAGAAGUGAGGAAGAAAGAAAGGAAACAAACAAAAAUAAAUAAAGCCAAACACUCCCCCAAAGGAGGAGCUACGAAAACUUUGAAGGCGGAUCACCGGGAAGCCAGCUCCGGGUGAGUAAUCCAUGAAUCACGAGAAGACUCGCUGUGCGGCAGAGGCAGAGCCAGGAGGGAGCUCUCCUAUCAGAUGAACUCCUCCAAGGCGGAGCAACCGGAAGCUACUUCACGCACCCGCGAGCCCCAGGGAACCAGCCGAGAAGUCCGGGCUGGUGCUUGCAGGGGCAAAGGAGUGUGAGAAGACGUGAUUAUUUCUUGCAAAGUGAGCAGCUCCACUCCCUCCGUGCCGUGGACUAAUACGACAUAAUAGAGUGAGAUCGGACAAUGGUGACAGGGAGUCCAUGCAGGCCCAACGGGUCCUAGUAAAUGCACAGUCGUGGGUCUCUGCCGGGCUGGGGCUGCACUCCCCAGGAAAUAAUGUAGAGUUUUGGUUGUCACCAACGGGGUGCUGCUGGCAUGUGGAGGAGGUGACUGAGCGGGGACUACGGAUGUCCUGCCCUGGCCGGGAAGGUGGUCCCACCGACCAUGCACACCCUGAAGCGCUGUCACAGCAGCAAGGCCGCUCCCUCAACCUCUAGACUUCCCGGCUUCUGGUUUGCUUAAUCCAGCUCUUUGCAAAUACGACUGAUUCAGUUGGAUGUUUCAGACAUUGAUAAAUGUAAGCGCUAUCGUCGAAUGUGAAGGACAACAUAAGUACCCAGGAGCAGGCUCGAGUCUCUGGAGAAUGAAUGGAGGUGAUGGGUCUACCUUCAAAUAAGAUAAAGGCCUCGCGCUAGGCCAGGCCCCACAUUCCAAAUCUUUGAGACAGAUACUCUGCAUAGCAGGGCCGCACGUAGACAGGCUGUGAAGGGGAGCUUGUAUUUAGGGUCCCUGAGCAGCACCCUUGGCGCCCUCAACCUCCCCGGACAGCUGUGGUCUCACGGGGACCCUAGCUCGGUGCUGCAUCCCAGUUCAGCCCCUUUCACCGGUCGUGGGCCGUCGGUUGGCUCGGCAGGCUCGGAUCCUGCAGCCCCUUAGGCACCAUGUCCCUUCUGCAGCCCAUCAGCAUGUCCUGUGGCUACCUCCCCUUUUCUCCAUGCUCCCAGCCUACACCAGGUCUGAGUUCUCUCUCUCGGGACUCGAGUAAUAGCUUUCAACCUGCCUCCCCGGUUGCCCUCCGCCUCUGCCCUCCACCGGCCGUGUUCUCCUCCCGACACCUGCUGUGAACGUCCAGUCUCAAAGUUCUUCAGAUCACGUCCCUUUUCAGCUUCAAGUCAUGUAAUGUGCUUCAUCGCCCUCAAAAGUGAGCUUCGGACCAGCCUCUCUCCUUCCUCACUUCAUCCUCUUGCCCCGACUCCCUGCUCCAGCCGCCAGGAGGCUUCUCCCCUGCACAUGCUCAGCUCCUCUCUGCCCGGAGCGCCCUUCCAACCGCCGGCUGUUCUCGUGCUGCAGGCUCUGCUCCAACGGCACCUUUCCAGGCCUUUCCAGAGUCCCCCCACCAUCGGCAUCUAAAAUCGCCUCCCUCCUCCCUGUUUAAUACUUAAUCUGAAAGUGCCCCAUUUAUUUGUUUGCAUUCUCACUGUCUGCUUUCUUCUAUUAGAAUAUAAGCUUCA